AGUGAAUAGAUACCCGGGUAGUCCACGCCGUAAACGAUGAGCACUAGGUGUCGGGGUCGCAAGACUUCGGUGCCGCAGUUAAACGCAUUAAGUGCUCCGCCUGGGGAGUACGUUCGCAAGAAUGAAACUCAAAGGAAUUGACGGGGACCCGCACAAGCAGCGGAGCAUGUGGUUUAAUUCGAAGCAACGCGAAGAACCUUACCAGGACUUGACAUCCUUCUGACAGGACCUUAACCGGUCCCUCCUUCGGGCAGAAGAGACAGGUGGUGCAUGGUUGUCGUCAGCUCGUGUCGUGAGAUGUUGGGUUAAGUCCCGCAACGAGCGCAACCCUUGUCAUUAGUUGCCAUCAUUUAGUUGGGCACUCUAGUGAGACUGCCGGGGAUAACUCGGAGGAAGGUGGGGAUGACGUCAAAUCAUCAUGCCCCUUAUGUUCUGGGCUACACACGUGCUACAAUGGCCGGUACAAAGAGACGCAAGACCGCGAGGUGGAGCAAAUCUUCAAAACCGGUCCCAGUUCGGAUUGUAGGCUGAAACUCGCCU
rnacentral:rRNA from 1 species